UACGUAGGGUGCAGGCGUUAAUCGGACUUACUGGGCGUAAAGCGUGCGCAGGCGGUUUCCUAAGUCAGAUGUGAAAGCCCCGGGCUUAACCUGGGAACUGCGUUUGAAACUGGGAGACUUGAGUGUGGCAGAGGGGGGUGGAAUUCCACGUGUAGCAGUGAAAUGCGUAGAUAUGUGGAGGAACACCGAUGGCGAAGGCAGCCCCUGGGUUAACACUGACGCUCAUGCACGAAAGCGUGGGGAGCAAACAGG
rnacentral:rRNA from 1 species